CCCUUAGAUGUUCUGGGCCGCACGCGUGCUACACUGAACGGUUCAAUGGGUAAGGUAGUGCGAAAGCAUGACCUAAUCUCGAAAUCCGUUCGUGCUGGGGAUAGAAGCUUGCAAUUAUCCUUCUUGAACGAGGAAUACCUUGUAAGCGUGAGUCAUCAUCUCACGCUGAAUACGUCCCCGCCCUUUGUACACACCGCCCGUCGCUCCUACCGAUUGAGUGUUCCGGUGAGGCUUCGGGAGAACUGGGUGGAUUGUGUUUCACAAACUGCUCGGUUUGAACUUAGUCAAACCUUAUCACUUAGAGGAAGGAGAAGUCGUAACA
rnacentral:rRNA from 1 species